rnacentral:lncRNA from 1 species
UACAAUCUUAAAUGUGCCCUAAUUAGAAACCCUUCAAUAAUAUACAACCAACUUGACGGCAUCUAAAAGUGUACUCACGAGCAGUUGAAAUUAUCAUAAAAUUCAAUGCAAUAUGGGCCCUUUUUGUACCACACUCUCAUCAAACAAACACAAUAAAAAGGCUCUCCAGUCCUUACAUUCUCACUACAAAAAAAAAUCACUCAACUGCUAUUUUUGCUUAUAAUCCCAAGUUACAAGGCCUAAUUUUCUAUUGAUUAUGGCUUCAUACAAGUGGUUCAUCUUCUUCUUUCUCAUUGCUCUAUCUUUGUCGAGUCUUGACAAAGUAUCAGCAGGUCGACCUCGUCACUUGGCACAAACAUCAAAUUAUCCCAGUUUGUUCGCGCCUCUUAUCCCCAACUUGCCACCAAUUACAUAUCCUCCGUUCCCUUUCCCUCCCACCGGUCGGCCCACUGUUCCUUAUGUUCCAUUUCCAAAUGUUCCACCUCCAGCAACUACUAGUCCAUGAAGGCAUUGUUUUCAGUACUCGACAUGACUCGAAAAUAAGAUUGUAGCUUUCUUAUCUACUUAAAUAAAUAGUUUGAGUACGUUACAAUUUAAAUUAUGAUGGUGUAAAUGUGUGCAUGUAUUGCUGUAUCUUUGUUAUCUUCUUCGUUCUCGUGUUUUCUACUGAUGAUUAAGAAUGAUCUAUGUUUUCUGUUAUAUUAAUAAUAUUGGGUUAUUGUUUCUGUGACGCGUAUUUUCUUGUUUUAAUUUCUUUGCUGAUAUGUUUAUGAUUUGGAACUUAAAUUCUGCUUUGUAAAGCCCUUUUAGUGUCGUGAAACUUUGUACGUUAUGUUAGGAAAAUUCUCCUACUAUUUCAUGCAAGAUUUCAUAGUAAACUUCUGAUGCAGUCCAAAAACACGAGAAUGCCGCGACUAAGACAGUUUUAGUUCUUUUAUUUAUCUAUAAUUGAGUCGAUAAUAAUUUUGAUAAAAAUUUAAGUCAAAGUCAAUAAUUAAUUUUAACCAUACAUUUUAUCGAGUCCACAAUUUUUUACUACAUAUUUGAUCAAUUUUUAUCAAAAUUUACUAACUAUCUGAUAUUUAACUACACCAAAUGAGGGCUAAGAUUUAAAUAAUAUUCAGUUAACUAAUAUUAAGUAUUAACCUAUGUUUGGUUUUGAUAAAAUCAGUUUUUAGUAGAUUUUGAUAAAAGAUGAUGAAAUGUGUGAUUGAAAAGUUGUGAGUGCCAUAAAAUGUGUGGUUAAAAUUAAUUGUUGACUUUUAUUUGAGAUUUUAAUUGAAUUUUAAUCCAAACCAAAGUGGGCUUAGUAUAUUUAGAUAAAAUUGAUAAAACGAGUGGUUGAAAAAAUGAUAAGAUCCUAUGAAAUGUAUGACUAAAAAAGAGUUAAAAAAAACUUUAGAAAAUGAAGGUCAAACCGAAGCUUAUGAAGAUGAGCUCGUAAAUAUGAAAUUGUAAUAUUACAUGGCCAAAAGAAUAGAUGGAUCAAUCUAAGGUAGGCUAGAAUUUGUGCUCUAGUCCAAAAACCUUGUUACUAGACAAGGGGGCUUACAAUUCACAUUGUGACUCGUUCUUUUGGUUGAACGUUCUUCGGACGUCAAUCAAUCUAUUAUAGCAUCUAGUGAAAAUUGUAGCAUUAGUCUCCACUUUUGAUUUAAUAGUAAAAAAACCCUCAUUCUGUAAUUUUUGAAUUUAAGUACCCAAUAUAUCAUUUCUAUUGCACCAGAUCUUCACUUAAAGGAAACCAUCAAAUUGACUGUUAAAAACUCAAAGUUUUAGCCCUUCAUUAUUUAAAAAUUUAUUUUCCUUAAACUCAUUUUCAACCACACAUUUUUUCAAUAAUAUGAUUUUACACCUAAACUUCAAACUUUUCCUAUUUUUUAUCACACAUUUUUCCAAAAAAUAAAUAAAUAAAAUACUAUUACAAACUUUUUUAGAGAAUUCUAUAUUAUUUUUAUGUGACAAACAAUUAAAAAACAAUACACAAAGAAAAAGAAAAGGAAAAAAAAAACUUCAUUUUCUACGUCUUGCCCUUCUCACCACUUGUCCCGAGAAAAUUUUUAAUAUUCCUGAAAUAUAGAAAUUCAAUACUCAGUUUCGCUAUUUAAUUGACAUGCAUAUUACUGAUCCCAAUUAAAUAAUGUAUUUCAGCUAUUUAAUAUACAUGCCAAUUAAAUAGUGACUCCAUACGCCAAUGGUACUAGGAUUUUCUCUACCUGCGCCAUCACUCCUUACCCUCACCAACGCAAUCUCUACAGUUCUUGCAACUAGUUCCCCUACUCCUCAUUGUUAAAAACUUUACUCUUAUGCUUGGAAAAUUGAGUUUAAGAUUCACUUCUAUGAAAAACCUUGGACUUUGAAAUACCAUGAAAUGAUUUUCGAAUAUAAAAUCGUUCAAAAAUCUUGGAUUUUGAAAGACCAUCAAAUAAUUUUCGAAUAUUUACAUUUUAUUUAUUUUUAAGUGAAAUUAUGCUCUUGUUUAGUAGAAUUUAAAAUUUAAAUUUUAAUCUAAGUCAAAUUCAACAACUAAUUAUAAUUAUAUAUUUUAUGGAACGCCCAAUUGUUGUUUCUCUAGUAUAAGUUUCUCCUUCAAAUAAUCCGAAUAUAUAGAUACUGAUAGAAUUACUCUAACGUAAUUUGCACAAGCUAACAAUGUGAUCAAUAGGAUAAAAAAAUUAAUUCGAGCCCACCGACUUCACUAUAUAUCCUUAAAACGAAUUUUCGGCCUUCACGGGUGCUAAAGAUAUUCAACAAUCAUUUUUCAAUAUAGAACGAAUUUCGUCUUCUACAAAAGCAACACAACAAUUUACAGGAGUUCCAACGAACUCAAGAAGUAUUUUACACUUCGAGAAAAAUAUCAAAACGAGAGAGAGGGAGAAUGAGAUUUAAAGCAGAAAAUGUUUGCAAUGAAAAUUGUGUAAUUAUUCUGGCAGUGAGGUAGGCUAUUUAUAAACUUGUUUGUGGUCAUUCGAACUUACUCUAAGCCUUUUCAGAACAGUCGUACCAUUCAAACAGCCUCCAAACUCGAACAAAAAGCUUAGUUCAAUACUGAAUCUGUUAAGUCGGUUAACAGACCAUCCAAAUCAAAAAAUUACCUAAAAAUAAGCCAAUCAAAAUAAAUUUCAUACAAUUUAGCCAAAAAAAUUCAAAUAAUUGUCCAAAUGCUAAUAAAGUGCAAUGACCCACCUGCACUCGCAGCGGACUCAGAUAUGUGCUCGUGUCGAAUUGAGCUGAGUCGAUUGACCGAACGACGACAAUGUGCCUAUGUGGGCUCAUGACCGAAAUCGAUAGGAUAUAGGUCUCUCUCCUUCCAAAGAUUAUUGGUACCUCUUGGAGUUGAAACACAAUUCUCAAACUUCCAUCAUAUAAACUAUACCAAAGUUUUCUAACUUUCUUAUAUGGGACAAGUGUUUGACAAAUUUUUAAUAAAUCAAAUUCUUCAUUAAUUCAUACUUUCAAGUGGGUUACUUUGAAAUUAAAUAUUUCAUUCAAUUCUAAAUGAUUUUCGAUAAAUAAAUAUAUCAUGUUAAUCAUCUCGCAAAAUAGAACGUAAAUAUACUACGUCCCGUUAAAAUCAAGUAGGGUCCCACUAAAAUUUGGGCUCAAAGUUGAUCAAUUUCACUAAUAAUAACCAUUUUCCAACAUUUCUUAAUCGGAUUAAUUUCACAAACGGUCACUAAACUUACGCGAAAAUUACAAAACGUUCAUUGAAGUUUAAAACUUUUAGUAAUGGCCACUUAAGUUUCGGAGUGCUUUCAAAAAGGUCACUGAAGUUGAAAAACUUUCAGAAACGGUUACCGAAGUUUAAAAACUUGUAGAAACGGUCACUGAAGUUUAAAAACACUUUUUUAGUUUUUUGGGUUACUUUUGUGGAAACUUUUCGGUCACUUCCGACCAUUGAUACCGUCGAAUUUUGAUACUAUUGGGAAAUCCACAAUUGACAGAUUUGAGACAAUACUUGCACUUAUGACUAAUUAGUCCACUAACAGGAAUAAUUAUGAUUUGAUUAGAGAUUUUGGUUGUAUUCAAAUUCCAGAAGUAAAUAAUUUAAAUUAUUCGAUUAAUAUGCGCUAAUUUAGUCGACAAGAUGACGUCCAAGGUAUUCUAAAAGUAGCUAAACAAAAUUUAAAUAGCUCGAUUUUUUAUGUUUAUAUCUUUUGAUUUUUUUUAAUGAUAUUUGAGCAAAGAGAAAUAACAUUUAAACCGGAAUCAAACUUCUUAAAUUGGAAUUGAUUCAAUUCCAAAAUAUAAAAAAAAAUAGAAAUAAAAACUAACCUGCUUCGUGUCAAAUCUUGACUUGAAUCGGAACAGUGAGUUCUCGACUUUGGAACUGAAUUUGUCAUUUUUAGAAGUUUUUAAUUUUUUUUUUAAUGACCCAAUCCAACAAAUAGCACGUUCGCAAGGUCCAACAAGUAGCUAGUUACCAAAGCUCAAGUAGUAAAUACCCUAGUCAAUCAUAUUCAUUUUCAUUUUUUACAGACUUUACUUUAAUUUUCAUUUUCUAGCAGCGAAUGUCUCUAAUCUUUCAUAAAUAUGCACCCGAGGUCCAUUUGGACGAAAACCGUCCAAAACACCGUCAAUUGACUAGAAAAAUUCCUUGAACUACGUAUUAACGUGACGAUUUUAUUGAAUGUUGAUACCUUUUUGGAUGAUAUUUUUGGACGAUGUUUUGAAUGAGUUUAUUGGAUGUUAAUUCUUUAAUUCUCCUAGUCAACUAACAGUGUUUUGAACGGUUUCGGCUCAACUGGACCUCAGGUGCAUAUUUAUGAAAGCUGGCACGAAAUAAAAGUUAGGGUAAAGCCUGCAAAAAAUGAAAAGAUUCGAGAUUGCUGCUACAAUUUUCCCUAUAUUCUAUCGCCUUUUCUCUCCAAUUAUUGAAACAAUGAUGAAUAUUUAUUAAUAACAUUUCACUAAUUAUGAAAUCCCAUAUUUCAAACAGAAGCUUUCGUGAUUAGAAUUUUCCAAGUACUACGAAAAUGAAAAAGAUAAAUAUUUUGAUUUUAUUUCCUUGUACAAGUAAAUAUAGGAUAACAGGUUAUGAAUAAUGCAUUAAAGUGACCGAACAACAAUUAUCACACUUAACUCAUAUAUUUAAAUACAGGAAACUUUUUUGCUAUUUUCAUGAUUCUACAAAAGUCCAUUACAUCAUAAAAUAUAAUUUCAUUGCCAAUUCAUUAUAAAAUAUGCAUCAUCAACAUGACAUGUACUGAUUAUCAUAAUGUUUCCUUAAUAAAAAUUCCUUACAGGUAAUUUAUGAUUUGUACGUGAGGUUUUAAAUUAGUAAAAUCGUGAAUUCUUUUUUAAUUGAUACUCAUCCAACUUUGCUAUAUUACCAAAGGGAACGCCAAAAAUAUUGACUUGCUAUUAAUUAAAUCAAUUACUGCUUAACAUAAGGAAUAGGUCAUGGUUCCAAUCAUGCAUGUGUAUAUUAAAUCUUUCUAAUAAUACUAAAUAAUAUAAUUUACUUUUAAUUUCAUUAAUACAUAUCAUAAGUUAAGCCCUUGUUUGAGCCACAUUAUAUUCUUAAAAAUGUAUUUUUGAAUAGUGUAUUAAUGGGAAAUGUAUAGUUAAAAAAUAAAGAAAAGUUUUGGAUUUGCGUGUAAUAUUAUUUUAUUGAAAAAUGUUAAUUUUUUGAAAAAAUGUGGCUCAAACAUAGUCUUAAUUUAAUAGGUGCAUUCUAGAACGUUCAAGGUACUAACUACUAUGAACAAAAUAAUUAGUCACGACAAAGGUAACUAUCAUAAUUAAACUAUAGAUGUAGCAUCAAUACAAUUAAUUUAGAGGACAUGAUAUUCAAAAGAAAUAAAAAUGCCGCAUCAUAGUUUUAAUCCCCACUGUAUAUGUUUUCCAUUUUGUCCCUCCAUAAACACGUGAAACACAGUUCAUAUUUUUACAGCAUUUUUAAUGGUUUCCGUAAACUGACGGCAAUGCUAUAUAAAUGACUAAUUAGAGGCUGAAAUAAGGAUGUUAACAAAUCGAGUCAAAACUUGAGGCUCGGACUCAGUCCGAGUAAAAAUGAUUUGAGCUUUUUUUGGACCGAGUUAUUGCUCGACCAAAAAAUUUAGUCUUGAUAUGAGCUUUCGACUCAGGCAUUAUAGAAUUGAGCCUGUUCAUUUUUCUAAAUAAAACACACUACCUUUUAAAAGCAGCAUGUUGUUACCUUUUAAAUGCAAGAGCUACUACCUGCAGGCAGCUACACUAUAUAUAUAUUAGGGUUAGCUUUUCACUAGUCAAAAAUGGCUUGAGCUGAUGAGCCGAGCUCGGGUUGACUCCCUAAAAUGGGGCUUGUCUCGAGCCUUGGCUUAGUAGAUUCCUGCCUGAGCCACUGGCAGCCCGAUUCAACGAGUCAAAUUGACAUCAUGGACGGAAAUGCCAAAAUAUAGAUUGAAGACCCCUCUCUAUUAUUAAGGCAAUAUGUUGGGGACUAAUGAUUCAAUUCCCUUUGUAUUUAGAUUAAAUGGAUUUCAUAUUCAGUGGUAAGUUAUGCAAUUAUAUGUAUACUUUAACGAGGAUCAAUUUCAACUUGUAAUAAUGUGAGUUGUAUUUUGUUCAAUUGUCAAAAAAUCUAAGGGCUAAAAAGUCCCUUUUUCAUAUUCAGUUGUAAGUUAUGCAAUUGUAUGUGUACUUUAAUUUUCUUUUUAAUUUAUUGAAUUUAAGCCCAUGGUUCAACUAAAAAAUUUAAUUAAAAUCUAAAUAAAAAAUAACAAUUAAUUUUAAAUACACAUUUGGUAGUCCCAUAAAUUUUCAACAACAUAUUUGGUAGUCCCAUAAAUUUUCAACAACAUAAUCUAUCAAUUUUUAUUUUUUUUUAAUCAAAAUCUACUAUAAAUUUGAUUUGUAUAUAAACCAACCAUAAACUAAAUGUUAAAUUCUCUUAUUGAAUAAAAGCGACGGCAUGAUUUCCAGCUGAUUCUUUACUUGCACACCUCUUUCGAAUCAACCAUCUUUAUAUGCUAGUAUUUAUCUGUUAUAAAAUUGAAGUUCCAGGACUUAUUUGUCAAAAUUGUACUGUAUUAGGUUGGGUAGUCGAGUCAAAUUAAGACUCAAUAGAAUGACUUCUAUUUGAGCUUAUAAUUUAUUAUUAAUCGCAAAUUUUAUGAGAAUCACAAUUUUUAUUGACUCUUCAAUUAUACAUUUCAUAAAAUUUUAUCAAAAUCAAAUAAAAAUUUAAAAUUUAGCCAACCAUCAGAAUAGCAAGUAAAUUCAGGGGUAUUUUGGUAACUUCAUUUUAUUUUCCAUCAAACAUUAACAUUUUGUAGCGAUAAAAUUAAUACACAUCAAAUCAAACCUCUACAAUUAUUCUCUCUUUUCGCCUUUUCUGUAUAUUUUCAAUCAAUUUCUGCAAAUUGCCACUUAAGGCUUCUUCAGUAGUGAUUGUGAAAAUUGAUUUGUUUGACCGUCAAAGAGAAAAGUUGAUUUCACUUGUGAGUGAGGAAAUAAAAAAUGACCGUUGAAAUAGUGAAAUAACGGUCAAAUUUUUUUUUUUUUGGAGUGAAAAAUUUCUCCCAAACGGGGGCUUAAUUUCAAGAGAGUAGCUUAUGGGUUGUGUCGAAUUGGGUUUGCUCUUAUAAAUAUGUUUCUUCAAUUCUGCCCAAAAAUUUGCACAAUUUUGCAUUAAAUUUUGCACGAGACUGAAGGAUGUAUUCCGAAUCUAUGUCGGAAUUGCACGCUUUCUUUUAGCUUGUAGUUUCACUCUCACUUUUGCCUUACCUUCUAUUAUAUUAGUAAAGGGUGAAUGAGGGAUGUGUUUCUUUUCAUUUUUCCCGGGGAUUUUUUGGGAUACUCCUGUGAUAGAUAGGGAUCUUUCUCUUGUUACGGGUUCAAUUCUAAGGGGAACCCUAGUUUGGGCUUUUCUACUUCGAAAUACUAAAAAAAGAUUACUACGCGAUUUUAGUAAUCUAUAUGCCCAUAUCGUUUUUCAAUCAUUGAAGCUUUUGGUUGGUAUUCUCUUAUUGUAGCUUUCUCUACUUCAGGCUCUUUUGAGGGCCUUAUGAUUAAACAGCUUAAAAAUCUACUAAACCAGCUGGUGAAAUUGAUUACGAUUUUUCCAUUUUUUUCUUUUUCUUUUUUUUUUAUUUUAAAAAUUUUAAUUUCAUGAAUGAGCCUCAGAAACUACAAUUCGAAGGAUCAUAGAGAAAUAUUGGAUAACAUGCUUUCCUCUCAAAUAGUUUUAUAAACUUUCAAUGUGGGAUAGUGCAUUUUAUAGAUACACUUCUCUCUAAUGAUUUCAUAAACCUUCAACGUUGAAUAGUGAUAUAACAAAAAAUGUUAAGAUGAUCAUCAAAAUCAUUUUUCAAAUGUAUGUCUAAUUAACUAAUUUAAUUUUUAAUUCCAACUAAGUAAAUUGUAAUAUCCACCUUCAUCUUUUCAUUUAUUUAAUUUUCAAAUUUAACUUAAAUUGCACUUGAUUAUUAGUAUAUUAAUGUUAGAUAUCAUUUUCUCUAAGUUUAAACUAUUUUAAUCUAACAAAGUAAAUUAUUUUAAUAUAUUGACUUUUAAUUUUUGAAGUAUUGAGACUAAUUGUAGAAUAAUGAAUUUAAUUAAUAAAUUUUUAAUAUGAAAUUUUUUAAAAAAUUAUUUUUUUAUAGUAUUUUAUUAUUUUUGUAUGUAUUUAUUGUAUUCGGUUUAAUCCCAGUUCAACCGUAGUUGAACUUUUUGGCUCUUGACCCUUCAUUUUUUUUCGAGUCGAUAAUCGGGUCGAUUUUCAAAACAUUGAUUUUUUGAGAUGGAUAACGAAGUCAUUGUACAAUGAUUUUGGAGAUUCUGAAUAAGUGUUUUCAUGCACUUUCUUUCUUGUGGUUAUUUCUUAUUUUUUUCAUCACUUAAGUUGAUAGUUACUUUGUUUAUAUGUUUGUUCAAAUGAAACCUACGAGCGUAAAAGAUCGUUGUACAAGUAAUAGAAAUAACGAGUUUCGAAUUUAUGGUUUCCAUGAGAAAUAUGGCUUAAAAUAUAGUUCAAUAGGUUCUAAAUUCGAAUGAGUAGUGAUAGCAAAGGAGUGAUUUUGUGGUUGUUUAUAAUACUUCCAACCUAUACUAAGUAAGUAAAUUGUAGUUUUAUCACAUGUGAAUGCUUGUAUUGGAUUCAUGAUUCUGCUUAUUUUCAUCUAUUUCAAUUAUCAAUUAAUAAUAUAGUUAAUUCAUUUGUUUUUGACAACCAAUAACAUUUAUAUGUUAAAUACUAAUUUCCAACAUACACCAACCUACGAUUAACACUAUUCGAUCCUAUUCCUAGUCCGAACUCAUACGAAAAGCAUGCAUUUAGUUUAUGUUAUCUACAUGAUUGCAAUUGCCUUAGAUGUUAUUCCUAAUACAUAUUGCUCAUGUGUUGAUUUUAUUGCAUUCUAAACUUAUCGUGAGUAUCCAUAUACUACAACAAGUAAUUAGCUAUUCAGCUGAUGGCCAAACAAUUAAAUAGUAUAAUGUGAACGCAAAAUUAAUCAAGAAAUACCUAAAUUAAAGUCUCAAAUUGAAAUAAACAAAAAUAAGGUUUAUCAAUCAUCCAAUACAACAGAAAAUUUAGCUAAACAUAUUUCUAAUGGUAAAACAAAAUGAAGAAUGGAAGAAUAUUACUCGAAAUUUAUAACUACAAGAAAAAGAGUCAUGGCCCAAUUCUUGUUAAUGAUUAUCAAUCCCAAGAUUUGAUUCUUCGACUUCUUGAUGUUUCUUAAUUCAAUCUCUUGCUAUAUUUGCUCUCCUCUCCAACAUACAUAUGUUGACUUUGCCCCUUGUUCUCGAAUUAUUUUAUGAUAUGGAUCUAAUUUGAGAGAUGAUAGAGAGAUCCUUCAAUGGAUGCCCAUCUCUUAUAUUUUUAUAUGAUGAAAUUAGUUUAAGAUUCAUGUCCAAAUUACCUUUCAAAAGAGUUUCAAUCAAAUAAGGAAAGUUGCCUUCGUACACGUGACUUUUUGUCUUUGCACAACCUUCAGUAUUUUUGUCAUAACUUUCUCUCAUGAUAUUCGAUCGAGGUGAUUCAAAGUAUGUUGAAAAAAUAACCCAAAGGGAUACAAUUAUUCUGAAUGUAUAAUUUUUCCAACUAGAACGUUUACUAUUAAAAAAAUGGGUCUCAAACUCCGGUUGAAAUUUUGGAAUGUCUUUUACGAUUUCUUUCAUCUAAUUCUUUUUCCAAACAAGAGUUUUUCCUAAUAAAAGCUAUAAAUAACAAAUUAGGCACUAAUCCGUUCAAGAAAUAACAAAAUACCAUCAUUUAGGACGUCAAAUAAGUGUAGAAAUAAUACUUAUCAAACUCAGAAACUUGAAUAUUUGUUUAGCUUGAAAAAUAGUUUUGAUGAGCAUUUUAACAUUUUUUUGCUAUACCACCAUCCCUUAUUGAAAGUCUAUGAAAACUAUUGAAAGAAGUGUAUCGAUAAUAUCACUUUUCCACAUUGAAAGUUUAUGAAAUCAUUUGAGAGAAGUGCAUUUAUAAACUGAGCAUUCCAUUCAAAAUUCAUCUAUGGGCCUUUGAUAAUUAUAAUGUAUGAGGCCUCUAAUAAAAAAACUUCAAAAUUUUUAAAUUAAAAAUUAAAAUAACGGACUAGUUCACGGUUAAACCGAUCUACAUGAUGGGUUUUGAGUGAUUUUUGUGCUAGUUGGUUAACCAGGCCCGAUUGGCCCAAUUUUUGAUCCCGUUCUACUGGUUGAACUGGCUGGAUCGGGCCAAUUUUAAUAACAUUGAUAAUUUUCAAUAAUGAAAAGUGGAAACCGUCUAAAGAGUGAUGAUUAGAAUUAUUACGGGGCUUUUGUUAAAAAAAAUGUGCCUUAAUUUAAAGUUUUAGAGCACUUUGAAGAGAUGAUGCUUAAAAUUAAUCAAAAGACUCUUUAUAUUAACUUUUUAAAGUAAAUAGUGGAUUUGGAGAGGCAAACUCAAUUUCUAUUCAUAAGUAUCGAUGAUUGGGUUUUAUAAUUUACGAAUUUUAAUACUCUAAAAUUUAAAUUAUUCAAAUCAAGUCAUUAACAUAUAAAAAAUUAUGUUACAUAAGCAAUGGGGAAAAUUAAUAAAUGUUUGCUGAAAAGAUUAAAAUAAAGAGUCGAGAUAGAAAGUAUCGUUGGACUACAUAAAAAGAUUUACUCUAUAAAUUUAUUUGCACAUCGAAACUAAGUUCAUAAAAUGGAAAAAUUCGUAAAUGCAUCAUUUGAAAAUAUUAUUUUAGGUUUUAUUCGAUAACCAUUAAAAUACUAAAAAUACAAUAUCCUUUUUUUUUCUUUUUUUUUUUUAAGACGGGGGAAUCCGGAACCACUACCGUUCGGGUGUACAUUGGAUAAAUCUUCGGAUAGACGCAAUAGCCGGCAAAUCACUCUAGCUAGGUAAAUCACAUUAGGCAUGCCCUGUGCGAUAGGGUCGACCAAGAAAGUGUUGGUAAGGGGAAUUGAACUCUUGACCAAAGAUCUUAACGCUCACCUACUCCACCAACUCGGCCAUCCCUUUAGGCGCAAAAAAAAAAAAAAUACCAUCUUGAUUAUGAAAUAUAUUAAAAAUCAUUGUUUUCUAAUAAUAGAACCCGCCUCCCCCUCCCUUGGAAAAAAAGAAAGAAAAUCAAAUCAAUAAUACUAAAAAUACUAUCUUGUAACCGAAAUGUUUUAAUACUCUAUCUUUCACGCCUCCCAUUUAACACCUCUUCUUUAAAAAGAAAGACAAUUCAAAAAUUUGACUUAGUUGAAGAAGAAAAAAGGCUUACUUUGAUUGACCACACUGUGAUUGUUGUACUCGACGGGAUCAUAGAUAUCGCCGUAUCUACAACCAAAAAUCUUGAUCUCGAAGCAGAUAUUUCACACUCUAAAUCAGUAUAUUUACGGUAAUGUCUCAGAUUUGGGAUGUGUUUUUCAUCUGGUUUACAUCUCACUCGUACAUUUGGAAAAAAAAUUUGGGGACUUGUUUAUAUAUACAAACUUUCAUUGAAUUGAUAGAAGAAGAAAAAAGGAAAAAAAAAAGA